GACGAACGCUGGCGGCGUGCUUAACACAUGCAAGUCGAACGGAAAGGCCCUGCUUUUGUGGGGUGCUCGAGUGGCGAACGGGUGAGUAACACGUGAGUAACCUGCCCUUGACUUUGGGAUAACUUCAGGAAACUGGGGCUAAUACCGGAUAGGAGCUCCUGCUGCAUGGUGGGGGUUGGAAAGUUUCGGCGGUUGGGGAUGGACUCGCGGCUUAUCAGCUUGUUGGUGGGGUAGUGGCUUACCAAGGCUUUGACGGGUAGCCGGCCUGAGAGGGUGACCGGCCACAGUGGGACUGAGAUACGGCCCAGACUCCUACGGGAGGCAGCAGUGGGGAAUAUUGCACAAUGGGCGGAAGCCGUAUAGAGCAACGCCGCGUGCGGGAUGACGGCCUUCGGGUUGUAAACCGCUUUCGCCUGUGACGAAGCGUGAGUGACGGUAAUGGGUAAAGAAGCACCGGCUAACUACGUG
rnacentral:rRNA from 1 species